rnacentral:rRNA from 1 species
AUGGAACCAACGAAAGCACCAAGUUAUUGGACAAGAAUAUGGAAUGAGCAGGACGUUCAGAUAAUGGUAUUCAUCAGCCUCGAGCUGCAGCUCUUACUGCUAUUCACCGGUACCACCCGGCGGCGAUGCAGAGUCGGUUGGCUGAGGUUCUUGGUUUGGUUGGCUUAUCUGGCAUCAUACGCUGUUGCCGCCUCUGCCAUUGGCCUCUUCUCCCAGUACGAGGACAAGUACAAACUAAGAAGCCUCGAGUCAGUUGAGCAUCUUCAAGCCCUGACGUUGCCCUUCCUCUGGCCACCUUUUCUCCUUCACCUCGGAGGCCCGGACAGUAUCACCGCAUUCUCCAUUGAGGACAACAAUUUAUGGACGAGGCAAUUGAUAAACCUCAUGUUCCAACUUGGUCUAGCCCUGUAUGUAUUUUGGAAGUCGUUCGACUUACUUGACUCUCAGUUGAUAAUAGUAGCGGUGCCCCUAUUUGUUGCUAGGAUGAUCAAGUACUGGGAGAGGAUAUGGGCGCUCAAGAGAGGAAGCCGGGACAGCCUCGAUUGCCGCAUGAAGAAUGAAGAUCCAAAUUCCCCAGCACCAGCUCCAGCUCCAUCCGGUGAUGCCGUGGCAUCUUGUGCUCUUAACUUGGGGCUUAGCGGCAGAGGACUCCUUGUUGGACGGACACUAUUACAGCUGGGAAAUAGGGCUGAGAUUGAGGUGCUGAGUGCUUUUGCAGGCACUGAGUCAACAGAAAGGAAGCUCAAGAUCAUACUGACGGAGCUCGGCAUGAUAUACGAUAUGCUAUACACCAAAACCAUGGUACUGCAUAGCCGCACCGGCAUCAUGCUCCGGUGCAUUGCCCUGGUAGCCAUGGUGGUGGCGUAUGUGCUAUUAUUGGGAAAUCAACAUAUGAAUGACCAAAAAGGAAUAAAU